AAUUAUAAUUCCAAUUAUUAAAGAAAGAUGAGUAAGAAUAUUGUUGGUGUUCUUAACUCAAGAGAAAUAUUUUCAAGUAUUUAUUUAUUAAAUUUUGAAAACCCGGCUAAGUGAAUCAUAGAAUGUUAAGCACUACACCAUGACUUAAGAUUAGAUACAAGGAGACCUAUUGAGAAUAGAUUUCUUGUAGGCUUCGAGCAUCAGAAGGAUUAGCACUGCUAUUCCGAUUCAGAGAUAAGGUUAAACGACAGGCUUUGCCUAUACAGGUUGAGCAGCUGAUGGAAUGGAAUGAUGUUGAGCGGGUGUUCCUUUGACAUUUCAAGAAAUGUAACCUUGAGUAUACAUCUUCAUAUGUAUAUCUCACGCGUUUUCCGCUGCAAAACACUUUGAUUAGGAUAGCUCUAUGUUAUGAAGUUGUUAUACGUGUUAUUGGGUAACCCACCUUAAUCAGUUCUCAUUUAUGUGUAUGUUUUAUAAGUAUCCAAAUAAUCAUAUAUGAUCCUAGCAUUUUAUCUAUGAGUGACAUUUCCAUAUACUUUAAUGUUAAGUAAUUGUCCAUUUCCA